GGCGGGGCCUGCCGCGACGGGACGGGCGAGCGGGGGCGGUCCUGGCGGGCGGAUGGGGGCGUAGGGACGCCAGGGCGGGCUGGGCACUGGCCGCGGGCGCGCUGGGAGGAAGGAAGGGCCCGGCGUGCAGAUCCGACGGGGUGUGUCCUUUCCCCCAUUUUACUAAUGAGAAAACGGAAGCUCAGAGAGGUGAGCCAACUUGCCUGAGGUCACAUAGAAAGAUGAGACAGGAUUCCUAGCAAGUACUCUAAGCACAAAAAAAAGAAACAGAGGCCCUGGGGCGUUGAAGUUUUCCCAGCGUUUCCCACUGGAAUUCUCUCCUCUGUCCUGAGGAAAUGAGAGCAAGGGGAAAAUGACAACUGAGUGUGACCAGAUGAGGAGAAGCAGAACUACCAAGCCCAGAAGGGAAAUAUCACCAACCCAGGGGUGGGGCCAGCCUGCAGCAUCCCAGCGUCCCCUGGGACACAGCAUCUUCUCCUCCCUGAGCUGCCUGUGGCCCACCUGCCUCCCCAACAAGCCGGACAGCAGCCUCUCAUGGGGCCCCAAGUCCCCUCUUGGGCCCAAGGGCAGGACCAAGCUGGCUCAUCCCUGCAUCUCUGGUGUCUGUGCAUUGAGUUGAUCAGGGGAGAAAUCGAUAGCAGCCUCAGGGAAAUGUAGGGAAUGGGGCUCCCUAGUCCUUCCAUGGGCUCAGAGGCUCCACAACAUCAUGGUUAAAAGCUUGGGCUUUUCCAAGACAUGGAAACAACCUAAAUGUCCAUCAGCAAAUGAACAGAUAAAGAAGAUGUUGCAUACACACACACACACACACACACACACACACACAGUGGAACAUUAUUCAGCAAUAAAAAAGAACAAAAUAAUGCCAUUUGCAGCAACAUGGAUGGACUUAGAGAUUAUCAUACUAAACGAAGUAAGUCAGACCAAUUCCAUAUAAUAUUACUUAUAUGUGGAAUCUAACAUACGACAAAUGAACACAUCUACAAAACAGAAACAGACUUGUAGACAUGACUUGCGGUUGCCAAGGGGAAAGGGAGGUGUGGAGGGAAGGAAUGGGAGUUUGGGAUUAGCAGAUGCACACUGUUAUACACGGGAUGGGUAAACAACAAGGUCCUGCUGUAGAGCACAGGGAACUAUAGUCAAUAUCCUGGGAUAAACCAGAAUGGAAGAGAAUAUGAAAAAUAUGUGUGUAUACAUAUAUGUGUAACGGAGUCACUUUGCUGUACACCAGAAAUUAACACAACAUUGUAAGUCAACUAUACUUCAAUAAAAUUAUA